rnacentral:lncRNA from 1 species
GGACCUGGCAGUGAGGCUGCUGUCACAGGGGAAGUUCGAAAUAGCACCCUCCGCGUGUGACCGGUUUCCAGUGGAGGAAAUGGGGCCUGGCCUUCUGGUAUGACAGAACAGAGGGAGGAUCUGCCCAAAUCCCAGGAGGCGACCUGAAACCACUUCUAGAGCAAGGCCCGGAGAGAAAAAGAGUCUGGGAAGCAGAAAUCAAUCACCCGAUGCACAGUAGUCCAGGCUUUGGCAUCCCUCUCCCACGCAGCCCUGGGCAGCCCCUGAGUGCACCCGCAGAAUCCACUGAAUGGACCCAUUGCGGUGGCUGGUUAAGUCAGUCUGCUCAGCUACCGGACCAAAGUACCAGACUCAGCGGCUUGAACAGCAGAAGCACAUUUUCUUGUAGUUCUCCAGGCUGGAAGCACAGGAGCAAGGCGCUGGCUUCCUCUGAGGCCUCCCGCUUGGCUGGGAGACGGCCCCUCACCCCCGUCUUCACAUGGUCCUCCUUAGACGGUGCCAUCUGUGUGCUCAUCCCUUCUGCAUAAGGACACCGGUCAGAUCGGAUUGGGGCCCACCCCUGACUUCAUUUCCCUCUAAGUACUUUGAACAAUUCCUUUUUGUGGUACUGGGAUGAAAUCCAAGGCCUUUGCACUGAGCUACAUCCCCAGCCCUUUUAAAAUAUUUAAAAAUUUUGAGACAGGAUCUUGCUAAGUCAAUAAACUGUCCAGACUGGGCUCCCUCUGGGGACUCUCCUCUCUCCUAAGAGAAGGGAAUCUCAGGGGCAGAUACUUUCCUCUUCUUUUGAAUGUCAUCACAUUUAGACAGGACACCAGCCUACUGGGAGCCCAGGACUUAGGACGAGCCAAGGACCCUCCAAGGUUGACUGGUGUGCUGUCCACCCUGGAGCCUCCCAAAGCUGUAGCAGGGGUUGGGUUACCCUGGAAAACCCUAUCAGCCCUAUGAAGCAGAGACCAUUAGGAGCUCACACACCGCACUCCUUCUUCCUGGGUUUAUACUGCACACAUUUCCUUGUUUGUCAGUAGGCGAGGCCGUGUGACGGUGUACUCAGCAAUAUCAGAUGUGUGAACAUGAAUGGAGGCUAUGCAGUGGUCCUCCGGCAUCCAUGGUAUCAAACCCUUUGUAAACUGUUUUUCCCUACAUAUGUGCCCCAAAGCGUCAUGUGUUCAGAGGCGGGGGUUUUGAAAGGUGAUUGGAUUACGGGGGCGCUACAUUUAUCAGUAAAUUAAUGAGUUGAUGAGUUCAGUAGUUAAAUGUGCUCUUAGCAGGUGUGGCAUUGUCAAAGGGUCAUGGCCGGCAGGGUGUACUCCUGUCCCAGCCCCUCCCUUCUCUCUCGGCUUCCUGGCUGCCAGGCACUGAGCAGCUGUCCUCCACCAGGCCCUGUCACCAUGAUGUUUCUGCCUUGGAGUCAACAGACAAUGGACUGAACCCACUGGAACAUGAGCUAAACAAACCGUGCUGCCUUUAAAUUGCAGGUGCUGCCUAUUUUGUCCCGGUGAUGGGAAAAGCAACAAUACGCAUAUCUAUGAUGAAGUCUAAUUUCUAAAGUAAGCAUAGUAAGAGAUCAACAAUAACAAAAUAGCAAAAGUCUAACAAUACUCUAUAAUAAAAG